CAUGGACACGAUGGGUCCUAUCAAGAUCUUGUUGAUGAUGGUUCCAGCCACAAAGUAGCCGAAGAUGCUAACAAAUCCAAUCCAGCCGGCACUGCAGCACCAAAAAACCCGACGCCUCUGCUGCUGAGCUGAAACUGCUAAUUUCUGGGACCAGCCUUUUUUUUGGGCUCUGAACGGGGGAUGGAUGAAUGGCUUGUCUCGCACAAAUGACAAAAAGCCCCCCCUCUGCCUUAAUCUCCAUCGCCAAAAUAACCCCAUCCGUUUCUCCUUUUGCUUAGUCCUUCAAAAGAAUGAACAAGGGACUUUGGGCAAACUUGUCUUGUGGUCUGGAGUGAGCAUCAUGGACAUGACAUCAAAUGCAAAUGAAUGUAUGUCUUAAAAUGUGGAUGAUGGUAUUGCUGAAUUACUUUAUAUAUGUUGUUUAAUGAGCCAAAUAAACAUCUUCAGUUCUGCACUGA